rnacentral:rRNA from 1 species
GACGAACGCUGGCGGCGUGCCUAAUACAUGCAAGUAGAACGCACAGUUUAUACCGUAGCUUGCUACACCAUAGACUGUGAGUUGCGAACGGGUGAGUAACGCGUAGGUAACCUGCCUGGUAGCGGGGGAUAACUAUUGGAAACGAUAGCUAAUACCGCAUAAUAUUGAUUAUUGCAUGAUAAUUGAUUGAAAGAUGCUAUUGCAUCACUACCAGAUGGACCUGCGUUGUAUUAGCUAGUAGGUGAGGUAACGGCUCACCUAGGCGACGAUACAUAGCCGACCUGAGAGGGUGAUCGGCCACACUGGGACUGAGACACGGCCCAGACUCCUACGGGAGGCAGCAGUAGGGAAUCUUCGGCAAUGGACGAAAGUCUGACCGAGCAACGCCGCGUGAGUGAAGAAGGGCUUCGGAUCGUAAAGCUCGGUUGUAAGAGAAGAACGGGUGUGAGAGUGGAAAGUUCACACUGUGACGGUAUCUUACCAGAAAGGGACGGCUAACUACGUG